rnacentral:lncRNA from 1 species
GUAAAGUGUGACUAUGUUGGCAAAGCCAUGAAAAACAAAAUAAUAAACAUGAACUCUCCUGAUGGCCCUUCUCAUGCUAUUUCUGUUCCAGGCAGCCCUUCUUUAAAUACUGCUACCAAUGUGGGCGGGCUAUAGGGAUUCGACUCACUCUUUGCACACGUUGUUACGAGAUCUUCACUUGCAGCAAGGCUUGUAAAGUCAAAGCCUGGAAUGAGCGUCACAAACGCGAGUGCUUAGGAGCUCCAGGUGAUUCAUCAUUAAUGGACUCUGAUCAAGACAACCUACAAUCUGAGGUUGAUGGAAAGCAUCAACUUAAGACUAAGUUGGGCAUUUCAAGAGAGAGGCAGAGUCCUGUUGGCAGAAAGGGAAGCGAGGGAAGAGAUGGAAGAGGCAGAAGAGAUGUCUUCAGGAAAGAUGACAAGAAGCCAAGUCCAGGCAGACAAUGUGCAGCGGCUGAUGACAUGCACCCAAAUCUUCCUUACACUGGGAAUUAUAGUUACAAUUAA